CUGCUUUUGUGGGGUGCUCGAGUGGCGAACGGGUGAGUAACACGUGAGUAACCUGCCCUUGACUUUGGGAUAACUUCAGGAAACUGGGGCUAAUACCGGAUAGGAGCUCCUGCUGCAUGGUGGGGGUUGGAAAGUUUCGGCGGUUGGGGAUGGACUCGCGGCUUAUCAGCUUGUUGGUGGGGUAGUGGCUUACCAAGGCUUUGACGGGUAGCCGGCCUGAGAGGGUGACCGGCCACAUUGGGACUGAGAUACGGCCCAGACUCCUACGGGAGGCAGCAGUGGGGAAUAUUGCACAAUGGGCGGAAGCCUGAUGCAGCAACGCCGCGUGCGGGAUGACGGCCUUCGGGUUGUAAACCGCUUUCGCCUGUGACGAAGCGUGAGUGACGGUAAUGGGUAAAGAAGCACCGGCUAACUACGUGCCAGCAGCCGCGGUGAUACGUAGGGUGCGAGCGUUGUCCGGAUUUAUUGGGCGUAAAGGGCUCGUAGGUGGUUGAUCGCGUCGGAAGUGUAAUCUUGGGGCUUAACCCUGAGCGUGCUUUCGAUACGGGUUGACUUGAGGAAGGUAGGGGAGAAUGGAAUUCCUGGUGGAGCGGUGGAAUGCGCAGAUAUCAGGAGGAACACCAGUGGCGAAGGCGGUUCUCUGGGCCUUUCCUGACGCUGAGGAGCGAAAGCGUGGGGAGC
rnacentral:rRNA from 1 species